rnacentral:rRNA from 1 species
CAUGCAGUCGAACGAGAACGGAUUAUAGCUUGCUAUAAUUGUCAGCUAAGUGGCGCACGGGUGAGUAAUAUAUAGAUAACCUGCCCUCUAGAAAGGAAUAACAGUUGGAAACGACUGCUAAUGCCCUAUAUGCCUUUAAUACAUAAGUAUGCAAGGGAAACGCUUUAGUGCUAGAGGAUGGGUCUGUAUGGUAUCAGCUUGUUGGUGAGGUAAUGGCUCACCAAGGCUAUGACGCCUGACUGGUUUGAGAGGAUGAUCAGUCACACUGGAACUGAGACACGGUCCAGACUCCUACGGGAGGCAGCAGUGGGGAAUAUUGCACAAUGGACGAAAGUCUGAUGCAGCAACGCCGCGUGGAGGAUGACACAUUUCGGUGCGUGAACUCCUUUUAUAUAGGAAGAUAAUGACGGUACUAUAUGAAUAAGCACCGGCUAACUCCGUGCCAGCAGCCGCGGUAAUACGGAGGGUGCAAGCGUUACUCGGAAUCACUGGGCGUAAAGAGCGUGUAGGCGGAUAUAUAAGUCAGAAGUGAAAUCCAAUAGCUUAACUAUUGAACUGCUUUUGAAACUGUAUAUCUAGAAUGUGGGAGAGGUAGAUGGAAUUUCUGGUGUAGGGGUAAAAUCCGUAGAGAUCAGAAGGAAUACCGAUUGCGAAGGCGAUCUACUGGAACAUUAUUGACGCUGAGACGCGAAAGCGUGGGGAGCAAACAGGAUUAGAUACCCUGGUAGUCCACGCCCUAAACGACGCACACUAGUUGUUGUGAGGCUCGACCUUGCAGUAAUGCAGUUAACACAUUAAGUGUGCCGCCUGGGGAGUACGGUCGCAAGAUUAAAACUCAAAGGAAUAGACGGGGACCCGCACAAGCGGUGGAGCAUGUGGUUUAAUUCGACGAUACACGAAGAACCUUACCUGGACUUGACAUAGUAAGAA